rnacentral:lncRNA from 1 species
CGUUCUUCUCAGCAGCGUUUUUGUCCUUCUCAGCCCUAACCUUCCCAGCCUGCAGCUUCUGUUUCUCCAAUCUUUCCCUCUCCCAUUUCUGCACACAGAAGAAAAACAUGUAACAUGUGAUUACAAAGAUUGAUUCGGAAAAGGGCGAAAAGUGAGAGUACCUGGAUGUAGACAUUCUCUUUGGCCUGUUCUUCUUCGCUGAGCACGCGCCCUUUGUCGCUGAAGAAGCGACUGAAAGCACCGCGAUUCGUUGAGUCCAUCACACGAGUCACGGAUGCCCGACUCACCCAAGAUCUCAUAGCCAUUAA